AUUGAACGCUGGCGGCAGGCCUAACACAUGCAAGUCGAGCGGCAGCGGGAAAGUAGCUUGCUACUUUUGCCGGCGAGCGGCGGACGGGUGAGUAAUGCCUGGGAAAUUGCCCAGUCGAGGGGGAUAACAGUUGGAAACGACUGCUAAUACCGCAUACGCCCUACGGGGGAAAGCAGGGGACCUUCGGGCCUUGCGCGAUUGGAUAUGCCCAGGUGGGAUUAGCUAGUUGGUGAGGUAGUGGCUCACCAAGGCGACGAUCCCUAGUUGGUCUGAGGUGAUGAACAGCCACACUGGGACUGAGACACGGUCCAGACCCCUACGGGAGGCAGGAGUGGGGAAUAUUGCACAAUGGGGGAAACCCUGAUGCAGCCAUGCCGCGUGUGUGAAGAAGGCCUUCGGGUUGUAAAGCACUUUCAGCGAGGAGGAAAGGUUGAUGCCUAAUACGUAUCAACUGUGACGUUACUUGCAGAAGAAGCACCGGCUAACUCCGUGCCAGCCGCCGCCGUAAAAC
rnacentral:rRNA from 1 species